rnacentral:rRNA from 1 species
UCGAUGCAACGCGAAGAACCUUACCUAGGCUUGACAGUUAGGGAAAACUGGUAGAGAUAUCAGGUGCCGAAAGCGUCCUAAAACAGGUGGUGCAUGGCUGUCGUCAGCUCGUGUCGUGAGAUGUUGGGUUAAGUCCCGCAACGAGCGCAACCCUCGUCGUAUGUUGCCAGCAUUAAGUUGGGGACUCAUACGAGACUGCCGGGGGUCAACUCGGAGGAAGGUGGGGAUGACGUCAAGUCAUCAUGCCCCUUAUGUCUAGGGCUGCACGCAUGCUACAAUGGCUGGUACAAAGGGCUGCGAUACCGCGAGGUGGAGCGAAUCCCAAAAAGCCAGUCUCAGUUCGGAUUGGGGUCUGCAACUCGACCCCAUGAAGUCGGAGUCGCUAGUAAUCGCAGAUCAGCAACGCUGCGGUGAAUACGUUCCCGGGCCUUGUACACACCGCCCGUCACGUCACGAAAGUCGGCAACACCCGAAGCCAGUGGCCUAACCCGCAAGGGAAGGAGCUGUCGAAG